CAGCAGCCGCGGUAAUACAGAGGGUGCGAGCGUUAAUCGGAAUUACUGGGCGUAAAGCGCACGUAGGCGGACAUUUAAGUCAGGGGUGAAAUCCCGGGGCUCAACCCCGGAACUGCCUUUGAUACUGGGUGUCUAGAGUAUGGAAGAGGUGAGUGGAAUUCCGAGUGUAGAGGUGAAAUUCGUAGAUAUUCGGAGGAACACCAGUGGCGAAGGCGGCUCACUGGUCCAUUACUGACGCUGAGGUGCGAAAGCGUGGGGAGCAAACAGGAUUAGAUACCCCGGUAGUCCCUGUCUCUUAUAC
rnacentral:rRNA from 1 species